GACGAACGCUGGCGGCGUGCUUAACACAUGCAAGUCGAACGGAAAGGCCCUGCUUUUGUGGGGUGCUCGAGUGGCGAACGGGUGAGUAACACGUGAGUAACCUGUCCUUGACUUUGGGAUAACUUCAGGAAACUGGGGCUAAUACCGGAUAGGAGCUCCUGCUGCAUGGUGGGGGUUGGAAAGUUUCGGCGGUUGGUGAUGGACUCGCGGCUUAUCAGCUUGUUGGUGGGGUAGUGGCUUACCAAGGCUUUGACGGGUAGCCGGCCUGAGAGGGUGACCGGCCACAUUGGGACUGAGAUACGGCCCAGACUCCUACGGGAGGCAGCAGUGGGGAAUAUUGCACAAUGGGCGGAAGCCUGAUGCAACAACGCCGCGUGCGGGAUGACGGCCUUCGGGUUGUAAACCGCUUUCGCCUGUGACGAGGCGUGAGUGACGGUAAUGGGUAAAGAAGCACCGGCUAACUACGUGCCAGCAGCCGCGGUGAUACGUAGGGUGCGAGCGUUGUCCGGAUUUAUUGGGCGUAAAGGGCUCGUAGGUGGUUGAUCGCGUCGGAAGUGUAAUCUUGGGGCUUAACCCUGAGCGUGCUUUCGAUACGGGUUGACUUGAGGAAGGUAGGGGAGAAUGGAAUUCCUGGUGGAGCGGUGGAAUGCGCAGAUAUCAGGAGGAACACCAGUGGCGAAGGCGGUUCUCUGGGCCUUUCCUGACGCUGAGGAGCGAAAGCGUGGGGAGCGAACAGGCUUAGAUACCCUGGUAGUCCACGCUGUAAACGGUGGGUACUAGGUGUGGGGUCCAUUCCACGGGUUCCGUGCCGUAGCUAACGCUUUAAGUACCCCGCCUGGGGAGUACGGCCGCAAGGCUAAAACUCAAAGGAAUUGACGGGGCCCCGCACAAGCGGCGGAGCAUGCGGAUUAAUUCGAUGCAACGCGUAGAACCUUACCUGGGUUUGACAUGGAUCGGGAGCGCUCAGAGAUGGGUGUGCCUCUUUUGGGGUCGGUUCACAGGUGGUGCAUGGCUGUCGUCAGCUCGUGUCGUGAGAUGUUGGGUUAAGUCCCGCAACGAGCGCAACCCUUGUUCACUGUUGCCAGCACGUUAUGGUGGGGACUCAGUGGAGACCGCCGGGGUCAACUCGGAGGAAGGUGGGGAUGACGUCAAGUCAUCAUGCCCCUUAUGUCCAGGGCUUCACGCAUGCUACAAUGGCUGGUACAGAGAGUGGCGAGCCUGUGAGGGUGAGCGAAUCUCGGAAAGCCGGUCUCAGUUCGGAUUGGGGUCUGCAACUCGACCUCAUGAAGUCGGAGUCGCUAGUAAUCGCAGAUCAGCAACGCUGCGGUGAAUACGUUCCCGGGGCU
rnacentral:rRNA from 1 species